rnacentral:rRNA from 1 species
AUGGCUCAGGAUGAAACGCUGGCGGCGUAGCCUAACACAUGCAAGUCGAGCGGGGAAGCCGGAACGAUGGUAGAGAUAGUAUGAGAAAGCAUCCUAGGCGGCGGACGGGUGAGUAACACGUGAGGAACCUGCCUUACACAGGGGAAUAACACCGUGAAAACGGUGCUAAUACCGCAUAACACCGCACUAUGGCAUCAUAGAGCGGUCAAAGGAGAAAUCCGGGUGUAAGAUGGCCUCGCGCCCGAUUAGUUAGUUGUGGGGUAAUGGCCUACCAAGACUGCGAUCGGUAGCCGGACUGAGAGGUCGAACGGCCACAUUGGAACUGAGAGACGGGUCCAGACUCCUACGGGAGGCAGCAGUGGGGAAUAUUGGGCAAUGGGGGGAAACCCUGACCCAGCAACGCCGCGUGAAGGAAGAAGGCCUUCGGGUUGUAAACUUCUUUGAUCAGGGAAGAAACAAAUGACGGUACCUGAAAAACAAGCCACGGCUAACUACGUGCCAGCCGCCGC